rnacentral:rRNA from 1 species
UACGGAGGGUGCAAGCGUUGUCCGGAAUCACUGGGCGUAAAGCGCACGUAGGCGGAUUCUUAAGUCGGUGGUGAAAUCCUGGAGCUCAACUCCAGAACUGCCUUCGAUACUGGGAGUCUUGAGUUCGGGAGAGGUGAGUGGAACUGCGAGUGUAGAGGUGAAAUUCGUAGAUAUUCGCAAGAACACCAGUGGCGAAGGCGGCUCACUGGCCCGAUACUGACGCUGAGGCACGAAAGCGUGGGGAGCAAACAGGG